GUCUCUGUGGUGCAAUUGGUUAGCAUGUCUGGCUGUUAACUGAAAGGCUGGUGAUUUGAGCCCACCCAGGGACG
rnacentral:tRNA from 1 species